rnacentral:rRNA from 1 species
UAUCUCUGUAGAGUCUGCAUAUCAAUAAGCGGAGGAAAAGAAACUAACUAGGAUUCCCUCAGUAACGGCGAGUGAAGCGGGAAGAGCUCAAAUUUGAAAUCUUCGAGGUUCUACCUUGACGAAUUGUAGUUUAAAGAAGUGUUUUCUGUUGGAGUUUUGGUAAAAGUUCUUUGGAAUAGGACAUCAUAGAGGGUGAGAAUCCCGUAUUUGACCAUUAUUUCCAGCUUUGUGAUACACUUUCAAAGAGUCGGAUUGUUUGGGAAUGCAGUCCAAAAUGGGUGGUAAAUUUCAUCUAAAGCUAAAUAUUGGCGAGAGACCGAUAGCGAACAAGUACCGUGAGGGAAAGAUGAAAAGAACUUUGAAAAGAGAGUUAAACAGUACGUGAAAUUGUCAAAAGGGAAGCGUUUGACACCAGUGUUGUUUUCUCGAAAAUCAAUUAAAAAAAGUUGGAUUUUGUAUUGUUAAGACCUUAUCAGCUUACUGUACUCUUUUCUUGCUUUUUUUAAUGCACUUUUCGUUUAACAAGUCAACAUCAAUUUCUUUUGUUGUAAAAGAGUCAUUGGAAGGUGGCUUUCACUUCGGUGAAAGUGUUUAUAGCCUUUGGCUUCUGCAACCGGAGAGAUUGAGGUCUGCGGCGUAGAUCCUUCGGGGCUAGAUACGUAGAUGCUAAGUUAUAGUUUUUUAUAGACAACUUGUUGACUAUAAUUAAUCAUGUAGCUUACUCGUUUGCGCUAUUUUACCUACGCUUAGGAUGUUGAAGUCAUCGUAUCGCGC